UACGUAGGGUGCAAGCGUUGUCCGGAAUUAUUGGGCGUAAAGAGCUCGUAGGCGGUUUGUCGCGUCUGCUGUGAAAACGCGAGGCUCAACCUCGCGCCUGCAGUGGGUACGGGCAGACUAGAGUGAUGUAGGGGAGACUGGAAUUCCUGGUGUAGCGGUGAAAUGCGCAGAUAUCAGGAGGAACACCGAUGGCGAAGGCAGGUCUCUGGGCAUUAACUGACGCUGAGGAGCGAAAGCAUGGGGAGCGAACAGG
rnacentral:rRNA from 1 species